rnacentral:rRNA from 1 species
CGACGGGUGAGUAACACGUAUCCAACCUGCCGUCUACUCUUGACAGCCUUCUGAAAGGAAGAUUAAUACAAGAUGGCAUCAUGAGUCCGCAUGUUCACAUGAUAAGUAUUCCGGUAGACGAUGGGGAUGCGUUCCAUUAGAUAGUAGGCGGGGUAACGGCCCACCUAGUCUUCGAUGGAUAGGGGUUCUGAGAGGAAGGUCCCCCACAUUGGAACUGAGACACGGUCCAA